rnacentral:lncRNA from 1 species
UUGCUGUUUUGCGUGUGAGUCAUGACUUUGGUUUUAGCAGCAUUCAAGGUAAGCUUAUUAUCCUUGCACCAUUUA